rnacentral:rRNA from 1 species
UACGGGGGGGGCAAGCGUUGUUCGGAAUACUGGGCGUUAAAGGGCUCGUAGGCGGCCAACUAAGUCGGAUGUGAAAUCCCCAGGCUCAACUUGGGAACUGCAUCCGAUACUGGAUGGCUUGAAUUCGGGAGAGGGAUGCAGAAUUCCAGGUGUAGCGGUGAAAUGCGUAGAUAUCUGGAGGAAUACCGGUGGCGAAGGCGGCAUCCUGGACCGACAUUGACGCUGAGGAGCGAAAAGCUAGGGGGAGCAAACGGGGAUUAGAAACCCC